GAGAAGAGAAGUAAUGAAGGGCGUAUGGGGGAUGCCUAGGCUCUCAGAGGCGAUGAAGGACGUGAUAAGCUGCGAAAAGCUGCGGGGAUCCGCUAAUAGGAAUUGAUCCGCAGGUGUCCGAAUGGGGUAACCCACCACGAUGAAGUCGUGGUAUCCUGGCCGAAAGGUUGGGAGGCGAACCCGGGGAACUGAAACAUCUAAGUACCCGGAGGAGGAGAAAACAACAGUGAUUGCGCCAGUAGUGGCGAGCGAACGCGCAAGAGCCCAAACCUGACUGGUUACGGCUAGUCAGGGGUAAUAGGACUACGGAAUCGAAUCGACAUUGAAGCCGAACUGGGUGGGAAACCAGUCCGCAGAGGGUGACAGACCCGUAGGCGCAAGAUGUCGAGGAGAGGUAGGAUCCUGAGUAGGGCGGGGUCGGAGACGCCCCGUUUGAAUUUGCCGGCACCAUCCGGUAAGGCUAAAUACUACUGAGAGACCGAUAGUGAACCAGUACUGUGAAGGAAAGGUGAAAAGCACCGUGAAUAACGGGGUGAAACAGAACCUGAAACCAUACGCUUACAAGCGGUCGGAGCUCUGCGAUGGAGUGACGGCGUGCCUUUUGCAUAAUGAGCCUACGAGUUACUGUCACUGGCGAGGUUAAUUGAGGACAAUCAAGGAGCCGGAGCGAAAGCGAGUCUGAACAGGGCGCACAGUCAGUGGGAGUAGACGCGAAACUUUGUGAUCUACCCUUGGCCAGGAUGAAGUUCCGGUAACACGGGAUGGAGGUCCGAACUAGUAAACGUUGAAAAGUUUUUGGAUGAGCUGAGGGUAGGGGUGAAAGGCUAAUCAAACUGAGAAAUAGCUCGUACUCCCCGAAAUGCCUUUAGGGGCAGUGUGGGGGUUAAGUUUAACACAGGUAGAGCUACCAAUAGGACUAGGGGGAGUCACAUCCUACCAAAUCCUGAUGAACUCCGAAUGGUGUUAAAUAUACCCUGCAAUGAGGGCAUGGGUGCUAAGGUCCGUGUCCGAGAGGGAAAGAACCCAGACCGACAGCUAAGGUCCCCAAAUCUACACUAAGUUGAACUAAGGCGGUUCAGUUGCAGAGACAGCCAGGAGGUUAGCUUGGAAGCAGCUAUCCUUUAAAGAGUGCGUAACAGCUCACUGGUCGAGCGACAGGGCAUCGAUAAUAAUCGGGCAUUAAGUGUAGUACCGAAGCUUCGGAUUGUGCAUGUAGAGUGUACAGUGGUAGGGGAGCAUCCCAUACAGCGGAGAAGCAUAUUGGUAACGAUGUGUGGAGCGUAUGGGAAAGCAAAUGUAGGCAUAAGUAACGAUAAGACAGGUGAGAAACCUGUCCACCGAAAGACUAAGGGUUCCGCGGCAAUGUUAAUCAACCGCGGGUAAGUCGGGGCCUAAGGCGAGGCCGAGAGGCGUAGCUGAUGGACAAUCGGUUAAUAUUCCGAUACUGCCGUUACAAGCGAUGUGGAGACGGAGGAGUGAAAGUUCCGCGACCUGACGAAAUAGGUCGUUAAAGGGUUUAGGUAGAUUCUUUGCAGGCAAAUCCGCAAGGGAUGCUGAAGCCCGAUAGUACCGGGAGGCUUCGGCCGAACGGAUAGCGGACCUAAUCAGACUUCCAAGAAAAUCCGCUAAGCAUAUUGUAAUGGUACCCGUACCGUAAACCGACACAGGUAGUCGAGGAGAGAAUCCUAAGGUGCUCGAGUGAGUCGUGGCUAAGGAACUAGGCAACAUAACCCUGUAACUUCGGGAGAAGGGGAGCCUCGCUUCUAGCAAUAGGAGAAGGUCGCAGAGAAAUGGCCCAGGCGACUGUUUAACAAAAACACAUGGCUAUGCGAAAUCGAAAGAUGAGGUAUAUGGCCUGACACCUGCCCGGUGCUGGAAGGUUAAGGGGGGAUGUUAGUGGAGCAAUCCGCGAAGCAUUGAACUGAAGCCCCAGUAAACGGCGGCCGUAACUAUAACGGUCCUAAGGUAGCGAAAUUCCUUGUCGGGUAAGUUCCGACCUGCACGAAUGGUGUAACGAUCUGGGCGCUGUCUCAGCCACGAGCUCGGUGAAAUUGUAGUCACGGUGAAGAUGCCGUGUACCCGUCACGGGACGGAAAGACCCCAUGAACCUUUACUAUAGCUUCACAUUGGCAUUGGGUAGAUGAUGUGUAGGAUAGGUGGGAGACUGCGAAGCCUGAACGCUAGUUUGGGUGGAGUCGCCGGUGAAAUACCACCCUUUGUUUAUCUGAUGCCUAACCCGCGCAAGCGGGGACAGUGUGUGGUGGGUAGUUUGACUGGGGUGGUCGCCUCCGAAAGCGUAUCGGAGGCUUUCAAAGGUACCCUCAGCACGCUUGGUAACCGUGCGUGGAGUGCAAUAGCAAAAGGGUGCUUGACAGUGAGACCGACGGGUCGAUCUGGUAGGAAACUAGGAUAUAGUGAUCCGGUGGUUCUGUAUGGAAGGGCCAUCGCUCAAAGGAUAAAAGGUACUCUGGGGAUAACAGGCUGAUCUCCCCCAAGAGCUCACAUCGACGGGGAGGUUUGGCACCUCGAUGUCGGCUCGUCACAUCCUGGGGCUGGAGAAGGUCCCAAGGGUUCGGCUGUUCGCCGAUUAAAGUGGCACGCGAGCUGGGUUCAGAACGUCGUGAGACAGUUCGGUCCCUAUCUGUGAUGGGCGCAGGAAGUUUGCGAGGAUCUGACCUUAGUACGAGAGGACCGGGUUGGACCAACCGCUGGUGUACCAGUUGUGGUGUCAGCUGCACCGCUGGGUAGCUACGUUGGGAGCGGAUAAGCGCUGAAAGCAUCUAAGCGCGAAACCCACCUCAAGAUGAGACUUCCAUUGAGGGACGUCAGAGACGAUGACGUUGAUAGGCUGCAGGUGUAAAGUCAGAAAUGGCAAAGCCGAGCAGUACUAAUUACCCGAGAACUUCUCG
rnacentral:rRNA from 1 species